CGCGAACGCUGGCGGCAGGACUAACACAUGCAAGUCGAACGAAGUCUUCGGACUUAGUGGCGGACGGGUGAGUAACACGUGGGAACGUACCUUUUGGUUCGGAACAACUCAGGGAAACUUGAGCUAAUACCGGAUGAGCCCUUAGGGGGAAAGAUUUAUCGCCGAAAGAGCGGCCCGCGUUAGAUUAGCUAGUUGGUGAGGUAAAGGCUCACCAAGGCUACGAUCUAUAGCUGGUCUGAGAGGAUGAUCAGCCACACUGGGACUGAGACACGGCCCAGACGCCUACGGGAGGCAGCAGUGGUGAAUCUUGCGCAAUGGGCGAAAGCCUGACGCAGCCAUGCCGCGUGAAUGAUGAAGGUCUUAGGAUUGUAAAAUUCUUUUACCAGGGACGAUAAUGACGGUACCUGGAGAAAAAGCCCCGGCUAACUCCGUGCCAGCCGCCGCUGUAAAAC
rnacentral:rRNA from 1 species